GGUCCUGUAGCUCAGUGGUUAGAGCGCUCACCUCCCAAUUGAGAGGACCUGGGUUUGAUUCCCAGCAGGGUGA